AGGACGAACGCUGGCGGCGUGCUUAACACAUGCAAGUCGAGCGGAAAGGCCACUUCGGUGGUACUCGAGCGGCGAACGGGUGAGUAACACGUGAGUAAUCUGCCCUUGGCUUUGGGAUAGCCACCGGAAACGGUGAUUAAUACCGGAUACGACCGCUCCUCGCAUGAGGUGGUGGUGGAAAGUUUUUCGGCCAGGGAUGUGCUCGCGGCCUAUCAGCUUGAUGGUGAGGUAAUGGCUCACCAUGGCUUCGACGGGUAGCCGGCCUGAGAGGGUGACCGGUCACACUGGGACUGAGACACGGCCCAGACUCCUACGGGAGGCAGCAGUGGGAAUAUGGACAAUGGGCGAAGCCUGAUCCAGCAACGCCGCGUGAGGAUGACGGCCUGGUGUAACUCUUCGGUAGGACGAAGUUUGUCUUUUGGUCGAAAGUGACGUACCUACUAAAGAAGACAACCGGCCAACUACGUACGCCAGUAGCCGC
rnacentral:rRNA from 1 species